GGAAAUAUGGCGAUGAUUGCGAUGAUUCAGUAAUUCCUUGAGUUAGUUAGUGUUAAAUCGUCAAGUUUACUUAUGUACAACAAAGAAAAAGAGGAUCAAUGUCAAUUUCCCUCGUGGUUCUCAGAUUUGAGGUUGCUGAUGACCUGCCUUUGCCCCAAGGCUUAGAUUACAGUGCCCCUGGGUUUGUCACAAGUAAAGACAUGUCGGCAUCAGAAGAGGGAAAUUGUACUGGUGGGGAGGAGAAGGAUCCUGCACCCAGCAAUGUCUCUGAAGAAAAGAUGAAAGUUCACAGGGGUGGACGAUAUCCUCAUGAUAUUCACCUUGAAACACUAGCAAGAAAUAGUGAUGCAGCUCAUGGAGAAGAACGAGAGGAAAAAGGGAAAGUGGCAUUCUUCUGUGGAAAUCCUAUGGUGGAGAUCAUCAAGGGAAUUAUACACAUCUAUAAGAACAAUGAGAUGACGUCAUUGUCUGAAGGCGUUAAACGGAGUGAGAUGAUCUGCAUGCUUGCUGUACCAGCCAAGAUGACCUGUAUUGAACUCAUGCAAUUUGUAGCUCCUUCAGAAGAAUUUAUUGAAUGUGUCAAGAUCAUCAGAGAUGCCACACCCAAUCAGUACAUGGUUCUUGUGAAAUUUAGGAGUCAGGAACUGGCUGAUGAAUUCUACAAUACAUUUAAUGGUCAGCCUUACAAUCUCUUAGAGGAAGAGGUUUGUCAUCUAGUCUAUGUUGCUAAAGUGGAAACCAAGAAAUUAUCAGAGGGAGGAAGUCUGCCGUGUGUGGGUUUAACUGAACUGCCGAAGUGCCCAGUCUGUUUGGAGCGGAUGGAUGAAUCUGUUGAAGGCGUUUUAACCAUUCUUUGUAAUCACUCGUUUCACGGAAGCUGUUUGUCUAAAUGGUCUGAUACUACUUGUCCAGUGUGUAGAUAUUGCCAAACUCCACAACCCGUGGACGGGAACAAGUGCUUUGAAUGUGAUUCAAAUGAGAGCCUGUGGAUUUGCCUUAUAUGCGGUCACAUAGGAUGCGGUAGAUAUCUGAGGUCUCACGCCAAGAGACAUUUCCAAGAGACGCAACACACAUAUUCUUUAGAACUGGGAACACAGCGAGUCUGGGACUAUACAGGAGAUAACUUUGUACAUCGUCUGAUCCAGAAUAAGGCUGACGGCAAGCUUGUGGAGUAUGGUUCAGGACAACAGGUUAUGGAUGAAGAAAAAAUGGAUUCUGUCACGCUAGAGUACACAUACUUACUGACGAGUCAACUGGAGAACCAAAGACUUUAUUUCCAAGAAAAAAUUACUCAAAUUGAAAAAGAAGCAGCGGAGCAGGCGAGUUCUAUGGAAGAGCGAACGAAGAAAACACUGGAGGAAUGUAAAAGGUUGGAGUUGAAACUUUCUGAAGCCGAAAAAGAAAAGAAAAAUGUGGACAAAAAGUAUGCACAGGUAAUGGUUCGCCAAACAUGGCAUUGUGUGUGCAGUUUGUGUGGAAAUAAUGUAACCGUCACCUCACAAGCAUCAAUAACUAUUGUCAAGCUGACUGUCAAUCAGGUUACAUCUGGUUCAAGUUUUGAAUUUGAUUGUCUGUAAAUGCGCGACUCCACGAUUGGUUAAGGAUGUUACACAGUGAACCAAUCAAAUUACACGGCAAAUUGAACGUAGCCAAUGAAAGCAUGAACCAUGAAGAAGUCAUGGCCGAAGGAUGAAACUGGAUCGGCUACGUUCGGAGAAAACGAGGAUGUAUCACCAGUAUAUUGGACUCCGGAAGGAAGACGCGAGAGCAGGCUAAGGUUGUUACUAGGGUUGGAAAGCUCGUCAGUGAUCUUAAAGAAGAGCAGGAGUUAAACAAGUGUUUGCUAGAAAAUCAAAAGUUGUGGCAA
rnacentral:misc_RNA from 1 species